rnacentral:misc_RNA from 1 species
UCUCUAACUCAAGUUCUUUUUGGGUGGCACUUGGCUUCGUUUAAUGCUCAACUAGUCCUUGGAUAUAAAAGUUAUUUGUUCUCUGAAUCUUUAUUUUUGUCGUCCCUUUGCCUGUACUGUGGCUUUGUUCUUGAGCUAGGAGUUUUUUUCAGCAAGAUUGCAUAGCUUUGUAUGGAUUUUGGGGUUAUGGCUCUUUUAGUUUUG